CUCAGCUUCAGCUCCAUUAGAUCAUGCCCCAGGAACCAUUGCUCCAGUGAUUCAUCAGAUUGCUAUUUGAACUUCUUAUGCAGCUUGCCCAGAUUUUUUUGUGGAAAAGUCUCACCCAUCUCUUGCUCAUGCAGGGGAGAGAAUCACCAUCUUCCCAGAAGCAAGUCAUCAAAAUGCAGUGGCUUCAGCUUGACUGGUCCAGCUGUAAGAACUUCAUAAUGCCUGCUUCAGUCACUUUCAUGGCCAUUGGAACAAAUUGUUCUCCUCUGCCCAUUCUACAGGAGGAAGUCUUCACAUGCUUGGGAUAGACACCCUACUAAUUCACUGACAGAGGGAAGAAAUCAAGGAGAAGAGAGAGUGAAAGGGUAUAGGAUUUCACCUGCCUGGCCUGUGUCAGGGGGUGUUCAAAGUCCUCUGCCACGAGGUUUCUGAAGAAAAUUAGAGGCUUCUAAGUGAAUAGUGUUUGGAAGGUAAAGGAGGGAAAAUCAGCCUAAACUCUGAGAGAGCUCAGAGAAGAAACUUCACCUGAACUAGGUUACUAGGCUUCCUCCAGUAUGGUAUCAAGGGAAACUCACCGCUAAACUGGACAAUAGCUACCGCUAUGCCAAGAUGCCAAGACACUCAGUUAGCUGCUGCC
rnacentral:lncRNA from 1 species